GGCAGAAUGUGAUCUCUUUUCCUUUUCUUUUCCACAUAUGUGUCUCAUCACUCCAAAGAGAUGGAUUAACAUUUAACGUUCACUCAUAUAUCUCAUAGUCAUCCUUCCCUUUUUCCUUUUGUUUCCAAAGACUGUUAAGACUUGAGGUUCAUGGAAACCAUCUAAAAUCUAUACUAAAAAAGGCCUACAGUGACAUAAAAGAAACAUUGUUUUUUAAGAAUCAGAAAACCUUUAUUCUUGUCCUGGUUUGUCUAUGGAUCAUUCAGAUGGCCUUGUUAUGAAGGUCAGGUACCUCUCAAGGCUCAGGAUUUUGGUUUGUUGGUUUUUUUUAAUGAAAGCUUUAGGUACUUUCUAAAGCUAGGAUUCAAUAAUCUUGCAAUAGUACUUUACUAAAGUACCUUCAAGGGCUCCAGAUUAAAACUUGUCAUAGAAAUUCAUCUUAUUUCAAUUAAUAACAUCAAUAUUCUAGAAUAACAUUAUCUUUUCAUAUCACUGUAGCCCAUAUGCAUUGCUUUACUAAAUUUGACAGUCAUAUUCCUGGUUAAAAAUUUCUGAGAGGGUAUAAUUAAUGAUCAUGACAAUUUCAAAAAUAAUUUUUCAAAAGGAGAAUUUUGGAAUAAGUUCCUGAAUCUCAAAUUGACAAACAAAAAGCAACAGCAUGAUGGAGAAGUGCUGUUUACUUUUAGAGUGUGUGAAUCCUGAAAGAUAAAAGUUGUUCAACAUAAUUUAGUUCACUCUGGAGUACAGUUAAAUAGACAUGAUGGAUGGCAAGUUGUCUUGAUCUUUUCCUUUUGUUAAAUUAUGAUAGAUGAGUGACGCUCACUGAUGAAGUUCCAGCAGACGUGUUUGAACUCUUUGUAUAAAGAGCUUCCCAUCCACAUUUUUUCCACAUCUAUCUCCAUCAGAACAAUGUGACACUCUCAAUUAUGAUAAAGGGAAGGCCAGAACACUUAGAAAAUAAGCCACUCAGUACUGGGUUGUGGUAUGAAGUGAAAUCAACAUGUCAGAUAAACAAGUCUGAGGCAACAACUCUAUAGUACUUGGGGCCUCCAAGAAACUUUCUAUACACUGAGAAUAUAGUCCAGGUAGACUACUUGUCAAAAGGAAGUAUAACAUAGACAUAAGUAGGUCUCGUCUAGGGAAUGAAAAAAAAUUGUUUCUGGCUACAUUAAUGACUUGCUUUUAGGGAAAGUAUUAACUAUGAGGCACUGGCAGAUAUUCAGGUUCCAUGUUUCCUGAGUAAUGCCACAGUCAUUGAUAAAUGAUUUUAAUUAACUGU